rnacentral:rRNA from 1 species
UACGGAGGGUGCAAGCGUUAUCCGGAUUCACUGGAUUUAAAGGGUGCGUAGGUGGGUUGGUAAGUCAGUGGUGAAAUCUCCGAGCUUAACUUGGAAACUGCCAUUGAUACUAUCAGUCUUGAAUAUUGUGGAGGUCAGCGGAAUAUGUCAUGUAGCGGUGAAAUGCUUAGAUAUGACAUAGAACACCAAUUGCGAAGGCAGCUGGCUACGCAUAUAUUGACACUGAGGCACGAAAGCGUGGGGAUCAAACAGG